UUAAACUCAGCGGGUAUUCCUACCUGAUCCGAGGUCAACCUUUGGAAAAUUGGGGGGUUUUACGGCAAGAGUCCCUCCGGAUCCCAGUGCGAGACGUAAAGCUACUACGCAAAGGAGGCUCCGGGAGGGUCCGCCACUACCUUGAGGGCCUACAUCAGCUGUAGGGCCCCAACACCAAGCAGAGCUUGAGGGUUGAAAUG
rnacentral:misc_RNA from 1 species